UGUAAGCUUUUGAAAUCUCAUAAAUAAUGUCUUGUUUUUACUAGCUUGAUAGGCUAUGUCUGAUCUCAUAGUUGCUUGCUAUUUUGUAUCCUCAUACAGUGCCAGAAGUAAAGCACAUUCUAUUUAGGUUGUUUUGAGCCCACUUAGCUGUUGUAUAAAAUGUAUUUACUUUAAAACGACAAUUAACUGCAGAGAUAACAAAAUUUGACUAGAACUGCAAGAUACGCCAGUGUGAACACUCACUUGGGAAUUGAACAAAGUAGGAGAGAUGAUUUAGAGUCGCUUGGUUUUGUCCUUAUAUACUUUUUAAAAGGAUGUCUUCCUUGGCAAGGACUAAGAGUUGCCAAUAAAAAACAGAAGUAUGAGAAAAUAAGUGAAAAAAAAGCUUCCACGUCAAUUGAGUCCUUGUGUAGAGGGUACCCAUCAGAAUUUGCAUCAUACUUCCAUUAUUGUCGAUCUCUGAGAUUCGACGACAAACCAGACUACUCUUAUCUGAAGAGGAUUUUCCGUGAUCUUUUUAUUCAGGAAGGUUUUCAGUUUGAUUAUGUGUUUGACUGGACCAUUUUGAAGUAUCGGCAAUCUAGCCAAACACCUCGAGCUCAAGUAAGUUGACAGAUCAAAUAUCAAAUCUUCUUUUCUUCAUUGUUGCCUAUUUUUC